AGUGAACGCUGGCGGUAGGCCUAACACAUGCAAGUCGAACGGCAGCACAGUAAGAGCUUGCUCUUACGGGUGGCGAGUGGCGGGCGGGUGAGGAAUACAUCGGAAUCUACUUUUUCGUGGGGGAUAACGUAGGGAAACUUACGCUAAUACCGCAUACGACCUACGGGUGAAAGCAGGGGAUCUUCGGACCUUGCGCGAUUGAAUGAGCCGAUGUCGGAUUAGCUAGUUGGCGGGGUAAAGGCCCACCAAGGCGACGAUCCGUAGCUGGUCUGAGAGGAUGAUCAGCCACACUGGAACUGAGACACGGUCCAGACUCCUACGGGAGGCAGCAGUGGGGAAUAUUGGACAAUGGGCGCAAGCCUGAUCCAGCCAUACCGCGUGGGUGAAGAAGGCCUUCGGGUUGUAAAGCCCUUUUGUUGGGAAAGAAAAGCAGCAGGUUAAUACCCCGCUGUUCUGACGGUACCCAAAGAAUAAGCACCGGCCAACUUCGUG
rnacentral:rRNA from 1 species